rnacentral:rRNA from 1 species
UACGUAGGGCGCAAGCGUUGUCCGGAAUUAUUGGGCGUAAAGAGCUCGUAGGCGGUCUGUCGCGUCUGGUGUGAAAUCCCGAGGCUCAACCUCGGGCUUGCAUCGGGUACGGGCAGACUAGAGUGCGGUAGGGGAGACUGGAAUUCCUGGUGUAGCGGUGGAAUGCGCAGAUAUCAGGAGGAACACCGAUGGCGAAGGCAGGUCUCUGGGCCGGUACUGACGCUGAGACGCGAAAGCGUGGGGAGCGAACAGG